rnacentral:piRNA from 1 species
UGAAUCCAUUGCUUAGCAUGGGAG